rnacentral:rRNA from 1 species
UACGGAGGGUGCAAGCGUUAUCCGGAUUCACUGGGUUUAAAGGGUGUGUAGGCGGGUAGUUAAGUCAGUGGUGAAAUCUCCGGGCUCAACCCGGAAACUGCCAUUGAUACUAUCUAUCUUGAAUAUUGUUGAGGUAGGCGGAAUACAUCAUGUAGCGGUGAAAUGCUUAGAUAUGAUGUAGAACACCGAUUGCGAAGGCAGCUUACUAAACAAUCAUUGACGCUGAGGCACGAAAGCGUGGGGAUCAAACAGG